CUUGACGACCAUAGAGCGUUGGAACCACCUGAUCCCAUCCCGAACUCAGAAGUGAAACGACGCAUCGCCGAUGGUAGUGUGGGGU
rnacentral:rRNA from 1 species